UACGGGGGGAGCGAGCGUUGUUCGGAAUCACUGGGCGUAAAGAGUGCGUAGGCGGAUUGACAAGUCAGAAGUGAAAGCCCAGGGCUCAACCCUGGAACUGCUUUUGAAACUGUCUUUCUAGAGUAUGGUAGAGGUUGGGAGAAUUCCUAGUGUAGAGGUGAAAUUCGUAGAUAUUAGGAGGAAUACCAGUGGCGUAGGCGCCCAACUGGACCAUUACUGACGCUCAGGCACGAAAGCGUGGGGAGCAAACAGG
rnacentral:rRNA from 1 species